UACAGAGGGUGCUAGCGUUAAUCGGAAUUACUGGGCGUAAAGGGUGUGUAGGUGGUUCAAGUAAGUCAGAUGUAAAAACCCCGGGCUUAACCUGGGAAUGUCGUUUGAUACUGCUUAGCUAGAGUACUAUAGAGGACAGUGGAAUUUCCAGUGUAGCGGUGAAAUGCGUAGAUAUUGGAAGGAACACCAGUGGCGAAGGCGACUGUCUGGAUAGAUACUGACACUGAAACACGAAAGCAUGGGUAGCAAACAGG
rnacentral:rRNA from 1 species